rnacentral:rRNA from 1 species
UACGUAGGUGACCAGCGUUGUCCGGAUUUACUGGGCGUAAAGAGCGCGCAGGCGGUCGUUCAAGUCGAGUGUGAAAGCCCCCGGCUCAACUGGGGAGGGUCACUCGAUACUGAUCGACUUGAAGGCAGGAGAGGGAAGCGGAAUUCCCGGUGUAGUGGUGAAAUGCGUAGAUAUCGGGAGGAACACCAGUGGCGAAGGCGGCUGCCUGGGCCUGGCCUGACGCUGAGGCGCGAAAGCGUGGGGAGCAAUCCGG